rnacentral:rRNA from 1 species
AGGGAAUAUUGGGCAAUGGGCGAGAGCCUGACCCAGCCAUGCCGCGUGCAGGAAGAAGGCUUUCUGAGUCGUAAACUGCUUUUGACAGGGAAGAAUAAGCACUACGUGUAGUGCGAUGACGGUACCUGCAGAAUAAGCACCGGCUAACUCCGUGCCAGCAGCCGCGGUAAUACGGAGGGUGCGAGCGUUGUCCGGAUUUAUUGGGUUUAAAGGGUGCGUAGGCGGCUCCUUAAGUCCGGGGUGAAAGCCCGCUGCUCAACAGCGGAACUGCCCUGGAUACUGAGGAGCUUGAGUACAGACGAGGUUGGCGGAAUGGACCGAGUAGCGGUGAAAUGCAUAGAUACGGUCCAGAACCCCGAUUGCGAAGGCAGCUGACUAGGCUGUUACUGACGCUGAGGCACGACAGCGUGGGGAGCGAAC